rnacentral:rRNA from 1 species
GACGAACGCUUGCGGCGUGCUUAACACAUGCAAGUCGAACGGAAAGGCCCUGCUUUUGUGGGGUGCUCGAGUGGCGAACGGGUGAGUAACACGUGAGUAACCUGCCCUUGACUUUGGGAUAACUUCAGGAAACUGGGGCUAAUACCGGAUAGGAGCUCCUGCUGCAUGGUGGGGGUUGGAAAGUUUCGGCGGUUGGGGAUGGACUCGCGGCUUAUCAGCUUGUUGGUGGGGUAGUGGCUUACCAAGGCUUUGACGGGUAGCCGGCCUGAGAGGGUGACCGGCCACAUUGGGACUGAGAUACGGCCCAGACUCCUACGGGAGGCAGCAGUGGGGAAUAUUGCACAAUGGGCGGAAGCCUGAUGCAGCAACGCCGCGUGCGGGAUGACGGCCUUCGGGUUGUAAACCGCUUUCGCCUGUGACGAAGCGUGAGUGACGGUAAUGGGUAAAGAAGCACCGGCUAACUACGUGCCAGCAGCCGCGGUGAUACGUAGGGUGCGAGCGUUGUCCGGAUUUAUUGGGCGUAAAGGGCUCGUAGGUGGUUGAUCGCGUCGGAAGUGUAAUCUUGGGGCUUAACCCUGAGCGUGCUUUCGAUACGGGUUGACUUGAGGAAGGUAGGGGAGAAUGGAAUUCCUGGUGGAGCGGUGGAAUGCGCAGAUAUCAGGAGGAACACCAGUGGCGAAGGCGGUUCUCUGGGCCUUUCCUGACGCUGAGGAGCGAAAGCGUGGGGAGCGAACAGGCUUAGAUACCCUGGUAGUCCACGCUGUAAACGGUGGGUACUAGGUGUGGGGUCCAUUCCACGGGUUCCGUGCCGUAGCUAACGCUUUAAGUACCCCGCCUGGGGAGUACGGCCGCAAGGCUAAAACUCAAAGGAAUUGACGGGGCCCCGCACAAGCGGCGGAGCAUGCGGAUUAAUUCGAUGCAACGCGUAGAACCUUACCUGGGUUUGACAUAGAUCGGGAGUGCUCAGAGAUGGGUGUGCCUCUUUUGGGGUCGGUUCACAGGUGGUGCAUGCCUGUCGUCAGCUCGUGUCGUGAGAUGUUGGGUUAAGUCCCGCAACGAGCGCAACCCUUGUUCACUGUUGCCAGCACGUUAUGGUGGGGACUCAGUGGAGACCGCCGGGGUCAACUCGGAGGAAGGUGGGGAUGACGUCAAGUCAUCAUGCCCCUUAUGUCCAGGGCUUCACGCAUGCUACAAUGGCUGGUACAGAGAGUGGCGAGCCUGUGAGGGUGAGCGAAUCUCGGAAAGCCGGUCUCAGUUCGGAUUGGGGUCUGCAACUCGACCUCAUGAAGUCGGAGUCGCUAGUAAUCGCAGAUCAGCAACGCUGCGGUGAAUACGUUCCCGGG